UUUCCAAAGCAUUCUUCCUUCGUACUAGACAGUGCUGAGACUUCAACAUCAGAAACAAAUUCAGUGGACCAACAGAAUAUAAUCAAUUUCCUCAAGGCGAAAUAUGAAUAUGGGACAGAUUUCCAAACGAAUACAACAGCAAUUCAACAAUGACGUUAAAACUACUGUAAUAUAAACUUUUAAAAAGUUUCAUUUUAGUUGGAG